UGGCGGACGGGUGAGUGACGCGUGGGUAACCUGCCUCAUACAGGGGGAUAACAGUUAGAAAUGACUGCUAAUACCGCAUAAGACCACAGCACCGCAUGGUGCAGGGGUAAAAACUCCGGUGGUAUGAGAUGGACCCGCGUCUGAUUAGGUAGUUGGUGGGGUAACGGCCUACCAAGCCGACGAUCAGUAGCCGACCUGAGAGGGUGGCCGGCCACAUUGGGACUGAGACACGGCCCAA
rnacentral:rRNA from 1 species